CUGACAACUUCAGAACACAGACUGGAAGGCCUCCAGCCUAUGACAUGAAGAAGGGCAACAUGUGACAAAGACUAGAGCUGUCGACCGUGUACAACCUGUGAGGUGAUUUGGAACAGGAAGGGUGACAAAGGAAAAUAAGCUCAUGGCGCAUCAGAGAAAACACCCCAGGGAGACCUACGGAACACAGCAAGGGAAAGCAAGCAUCAAUUCCAUGGGACCCUGAGAACCAACUUCGGUGGAACACUUUUAAAUGCUUCAUCUUUGCUCACAGGCUUCAGAUUUCUCCGUGAAAAGGAGCAGUGCACUCCAUCUGUGAGAAUCUGCUCUGAACAGGAGGAAGCACAUUUAAGUAGCCGAGGGCUCCCUGCUCAUUUUACCAGCAAGGGGUGCGUUCUCACGAAGGGCUCCAGAAUCACAUCAGAGUCCUGUCACCAACUCUACCCAUGGGAUAAAAGCAUAAGCAAUUGUUGAAGGCCUUGGGGUGUGGCUGUGAUCAGGCUUCAGGCUGAUGCUCUUUAUCCUGCUUGCCCCAUACAUGACCAACUCUCUGAGCCAGACUGUCAAAGCUUCCUACUGCUUAUGGCUCCGUGAGGGUAGAUGAGGUUCCCCUCUCCCUGUAGCCUCGGAGCACAAGAUCGAAGCAGAACAGAGCAGCCACAGAUGACCUCGAACUUCUGAACUUCCUACCUUUUAUUCCCCAAGGACCUAGAUCACCACAGGGUUGCAGCAUUAGGAAGACUGACAGCCACCUCUCUGAAGUGUCAGCCUGACAGGAAUGGAAUCACCUAAGAGACAAACCUCUCCACUUGUCUGUGAGGAUGCUUCCAGAAGAGUUAAACUGAAGAGAGAAGGCGCACCCUGACUCUGGGCAGUACCGUGCCAAGGGCCGAGGACCAUGACUGAAUAAAACGGAUCCGGUUGGUGAGCACGGGGAUUCAGCUCUCUGCUUCUUGCUG
rnacentral:lncRNA from 1 species